UACGUAGGGGGCGAGCGUUGUCCGGAUUUAUUGGGCGUAAAGAGCGUGUAGGCGGCCAGGUAGGUCCGUUGUGAAAACUCGAGGCUCAACCUCGAGACGUCGGCGGAAACCCUCUGGCUAGGGUCCGGAAGAGGAGAGUGGAAUUCCUGGUGUAGCGGUGAAAUGCGCAAAUAUCAGGAAGAACACCCGUGGCGAAGGCGGCUCUCUGGGACGGUACUGACGCUGAGACGCGAAAGCGUGGGGAGCAAACAGG
rnacentral:rRNA from 1 species